GUCGAGCGGUAAGGCCCUUCGGGGUACACGAGCGGCGAACGGGUGAGUAACACGUGGGUGAUCUGCCCUGCACUUCGGGAUAAGCCUGGGAAACUGGGUCUAAUACCGGAUAUGACCUCUGGGUGCAUGCCUGGGGGUGGAAAGGUUUACUGGUGCAGGAUGGGCCCGCGGCCUAUCAGCUUGUUGGUGGGGUAAUGGCCUACCAAGGCGACGACGGGUAGCCGGCCUGAGAGGGCGACCGGCCACACUGGGACUGAGACACGGCCCAGACUCCUACGGGAGGCAGCAGUGGGGAAUAUUGCACAAUGGGCGAAAGCCUGAUGCAGCGACGCCGCGUGAGGGAUGACGGCCUUCGGGUUGUAAACCUCUUUCAGCAGGGACGAAGCGAGAGUGACGGUACCUGCAGAAGAAGCACCGGCCAACUACGUGCCAGCAGCCGCGGUAAUACGUAGGGUGCGAGCGUUGUCCGGAAUUACUGGGCGUAAAGAGCUCGUAGGCGGUUUGUCGCGUCGUCUGUGAAAACCAGCAGCUCAACUGCUGGCUUGCAGGCGAUACGGGCAGACUUGAGUACUGCAGGGGAGACUGGAAUUCCUGGUGUAGCGGUGAAAUGCGCAGAUAUCAGGAGGAACACCGGUGGCGAAGGCGGGUCUCUGGGCAGUAACUGACGCUGAGGAGCGAAAGCGUGGGUAGCGAACAGGAUUAGAUACCCUGGUAGUCCACGCCGUAAACGGUGGGCGCUAGGUGUGGGUUUCCUUCCACGGGAUCCGUGCCGUAGCUAACGCAUUAAGCGCCCCGCCUGGGAGACCCCCCCC
rnacentral:rRNA from 1 species